rnacentral:rRNA from 1 species
CCUACGGGGGGCAGCAGUGGGGAAUAGUGGACAAUGGGGGCAACCCUGAUCCAGCCAUGCCGCGUGUGUGAAGAAGGCCCUCGGGGUGUAAAGCACUUUCAGUGAGGAAGAACGCCUGGUGGUUAAUACCCAUCAGGAAAGACAUCACUCACAGAAGAAGCACCGGCUAACUCCGUGCCAGCAGCCGCGGUAAUACGGAGGGUGCGAGCGUUAAUCGGAAUUACUGGGCGUAAAGCGCGCGUAGGUGGCUUGAUAAGCCGGUUGUGAAAGCCCCGGGCUCAACCUGGGAACGGCAUCCGGAACUGUCAAGCUAGAGUGCAGGAGAGGAAGGUAGAAUUCCCGGUGUAGGGGGGAAAUGCGUAGAGAUCGGGAGGAAUACCAGUGGCGAAGGCGGCCUUCUGGACUGAAACUGACACUGAGGUGCGAAAGCGUGGGUAGCAAACAGGCUUAGAUACCCUGGUAGUC